rnacentral:rRNA from 1 species
UACGGGGGGGGCAAGCGUUGUUCGGAAUUACUGGGCGUAAAGGGUUUGUAGGUGGCUUGUUAAGUCAGACGUGAAAUCCCUCAGCUUAACUGGGGAACUGCGUCUGAGACUGGUGAGCUUGAGUGCAGGAGAGGAACGCGGAAUUCCAGGUGUAGCGGUGAAAUGCGUAGAUAUCUGGAAGAACACCAGUGGCGAAGGCGGUCAACCUGGCCCGUAACUGAGCGCUGAGGCACGGAAAGCGAUGGGGAGCA